rnacentral:rRNA from 1 species
UACGGGGGGGGCGAGCGUUGUUCGGAAUUACUGGGCGUAAAGGGCGCGUAGGCGGCCCACUAAGUCGAACGUGAAAUCCCCCGGCUCAACCGGGGAACUGCGUCCGAGACUGGAGGGCUGGAAUCCGGGAGAGGGAUGCGGAAUUCCAGGUGUAGCGGUGAAAUGCGUAGAUAUCUGGAGGAACACCGGUGGCGAAGGCGGCAUCCUGGACCGGCAUUGACGCUGAGGCGCGAAAGCCAGGGGAGCAAACGGG